rnacentral:rRNA from 1 species
GACGAACGCUGGCGGCGUGCCUAAUACAUGCAAGUAGGACGCAGUUGCGAACGGGUGAGUAACGCGUAGGUAACUACCUAUUAGAGGGGGGUAACUCUUGGAAACGAUAGCUAAUACCGCAUACUAGUAGAUGGACCUGCGUUGUAUUAGCUAGUAGGUAGGGUAAUGGCCUACCUAGGCAACGAUACAUAGCCGACCUGAGAGGGGGGACGGGCAAACUGGGACUGAGACAAGGACCAGAAUCCUACGGGGAGGAGCAGGAGGGAAUCUUCGGCAAUGGGGGGAAAGCUGACCGAGCAACGCCGCGGGAGUGAAGGAGGUUUUCGGAUUGUAAAGCUCUGGUGUUAAGGAAGCGGUACUUAACCAGAAAGGGACGGCUAACUACGUGCCAGCAGCCGCGGUAAUAC